rnacentral:rRNA from 1 species
AUUGAACGCUGGCGGCAUGCCUUACACAUGCAAGUCGAACGGUAACGGGCCUUCGGGUGCCGACGAGUGGCGAACGGGUGAGUAAUACAUCGGAACGUGCCCGAUCGUGGGGGAUAACGAGGCGAAAGCUUUGCUAAUACCGCAUACGAUCUACGGAUGAAAGCAGGGGACCGCAAGGCCUUGCGCGGACGAGCGGCCGAUGGCAGAUUAGGUAGUUGGUGGGAUAAAAGCUUACCAAGCCGACGAUCUGUAGCUGGUCUGAGAGGAUGAUCAGCCACACUGGGACUGAGACACGGCCCAGACUCCUACGGGAGGCAGCAGUGGGGAAUUUUGGACAAUGGGCGCAAGCCUGAUCCAGCCAUGCCGCGUGCAGGAUGAAGGCCUUCGGGUUGUAAACUGCUUUUGUACGGAACGAAAAGCCUUCUUUUAAUACAGGAGGGUCAUGACGGUACCGUAAGAAUAAGCACCGGCUAACUACGUG